UUUUUAGUAUAAAUAUGUCCCAUGCAAUACUUGUGACAUUCUUAUACUAAAA
rnacentral:pre_miRNA from 1 species